GAGAAAACAAAGGAGGAAACAUGAAGGAGCUUCUCUCACGUCUGAAAGCCUGAAAGUACGGCUGGUCAUCUGUUCUGAGGGGUGAGGAUGGUAUUUUGUGAGGAGUGUGUGCCUCCCCUGUGUGGGUGUGUGUGUGUGUGUGUGUGAGUGGUGUGUCUGUGGUGUGUGUGUGUGUGUGUGUGUGUGAGUGCGUCUUUUUUUCUUCUGGUUCUCUGUCUCGCUCGCGUUGUCGGUGUUCUCUGGCUCUCUCUGGUUCUCCGGCUAUUUCUGGUUCUCCGGCUCUUUCUGGUUCCAUGUCUGUCUCUCUGGCUGUGUCCCUGGUCUGAGGUGUUUGUUAGCGCCGUUCAGGAAGAAUCCCGUCCUCCAGUACGUGAGGUUGAACGGCACUAUGUUACAUGCCUCACGCACGAAUUCUGGAGGCCAGCUGUGAUCAACAGCACAACUCUUUAUGGAUUCCUGCCACCAGUGCAGUCCUUCUUCUGCUGUUUCUUCUGUCCAUCCUGUUUUCCAGAUGGUCAGUGUGUGUGGGACGUCAUCAGCUGGACCAUCCCACUCUGAAUUCACCCGUCUGGGACGGACCUCCUCACUGCAUUCAGGACCACAGUUCUUUCCAUCAUUUGUGUGGCCUCUCUAUAAAAACAACAAUUAAUAGUUUAGGGACCGUGACUAGGAGUAAAAGAUUCAGAGAUUCGGGACCAAGACUAGAACUGAAAGAUCUACAGAGUAGAACCCAUGACUAGGACUAUAAAAUCCAUAGAUUCGGGACCAAGACCAGGUCUAAAAGAUCCACAGUUAAGGGACCAAGACUAGGACUACAACAUCCAUAGUUUUAGAACCAUUACUAGAACUAAAAUAACCAUACUUUAAAGACUAGGACUAGGACUAAAGAUACAUACAUUAGUGACUAUGACUAUAAUUAAAAGAUCUACAGAUUAAGAACCCUGAAUAGCACAAGAAAAUCCUAUGGCUAGGACUAAAUGAUGAACAGUCUAGUGACCAUGAUAAGAACGACAUGAUCUGCAGAUUACAGACCAUGACGAGGACUAAAAGCUGUACAUUUACCUGUCCAUCUAGCUUGUCGUCUGGAUGUUUGUCUUUGUUGUAGAUGAUUUUCCGUCCCUUUCCCCUCGUCCCUCUCCUGGUUUUUCUCUUGAUGGUCUUGUCGUUCUCAGGAGGGCAGCUUUUCUUAACAUCUGUUUCAGCAAGAGAGCAAAAUCAGAUAAAUCAGUAACCAGCUUUUCUCAUAAAGUCUGUCCUGGAGACCUUUUGAUGACCAACGUAUCUUCGUAUCAUGUAACAGUUCUAUAACAAUUCAGGCCUUCCUAGAACCGCACAUCCAUGCCAGGAUUUUUGGUGUGAACAGAUGUUCUGUGUUCCGACUCCAGAACCUGAGAUUUAUCUGAUUUACUCACCCAGAGGCUGGUCAACACUGAAUGAAGUGUCUUUGAGGUCCAGAUGUUCCUUAGCAGUUUCAGGUUCUGCUACAUGGUCCUUCAGCCGCUCAUCUCCUGCUGUUACACAGAGAAACACUGUCCAGAUCAAUCACUGUGAUUUGUUCUGAUUAUUACUUAUUUAUCGUAAUAUAUGCAGCUUUGAUUAAUUAUUAAUUCAUGAUCAGGAAACUAUUAGCAGCAGCUGUUUUAUGGUCAUCAUUAAAUCUGGUAAUAAGUUCCAUUUCUUACCCAGAGGAUGGAUGUCGGUGGGCACCGGAUCCUCCAGGUCAGGGUACGUUUGGUCAUUGGCUUCAGCGUCUUCUUUAACAACACAGCGAGCAGAAUUUGUAGUAAUUAAGGCAGAUUAAUGAUCAAAUCAGCUCAUCUAUAGCUUCUAACUGAGCUUCAUCAUCCUUCAUCAUCAUCAGUGUCUCGUUUUCUGUACAGUCAGUUUUCCAGUUUGUCAUUUUUCAAUAUUGUUUUUAUGUCUUUUACUCACCCAGUGGCUGGAGACUCUCUGACAGGGCAUCAUCUAUCAGGAACUCCAGGAGCUCUCUGAUGACUUUGACUGUGCCAUCGUUGGAGCUCACUAGAUGAUAUGGAAUGAAUUCAGAUUAAAGCUCAUAUUAAUGUGAAUUCCUGCUUUUAUAUUCACUAAAUGUGUUACUAUCAUCUCACUAUCUGGUGAUUUCCUUUACUUACCCAGAUGUUCCUCUAGAGUGUCCUCCACAGUCUCGGCCAGAGGCUGGAGACUCUCUGACAGGGCAUCAUCUAUCAGGAUCUCCAGGAGCUCUCUGAUGACUUUGACUGUGUCAUCGUUGGAGCUCACUAGAUGAUAUGGAAUGAAUUCAGAUUAAAGCUCAUAUUAAUGUGAAUUCCUGCUUUUAUAUUCACUAAAUGUGUUACUAUCAUCUCACUAUCUGGUGAUUUCCUUUACUUACCCAGAUGUUCCUCUAGAGUGUCCUCCACAGUCUCAGCCAGAGGCUGGAGACUCUCUGACAGGGCAUCAUCUAUCAGGAACUCCAGGAGCUCUCUGAUGACUUUGACUGUGUCAUCAUUGGAGCUCACUAGAUGAUAUGGAAUGAAUUCAGAUUAAAGCUCAUAUUAAUGUGAAUUCCUGCUUUUAUAUUCACUAAACGUGUUACUAUCAUCUCACUAUCUGGUGAUUUCCUUUACUUACCCAGAUGUUCCUUUAGAGUGUCCUCCACAGUCUCAGCCAGAGGCUGGAGACUCUCUGACAGGGCAUCAUCUAUCAGGAUCUCCAGGAGCUCUCUGAUGACUUUGACUGUGUCAUCAUUGGAGCUCACUAGAUGAUAUGGAAUGAAUUCAGAUUAAAGCUCAUAUUAAUGUGAAUUCCUGCUUUUAUAUUCACUAAAUGUGUUACUAUCAUCUCACUAUCUGGUGAUUUCCUUUACUUACCCAGAUGUUCCUCUAGAGUGUCCUCCACAGUCUCGGCCAGUGGCUGGAGACUCUCUGACAGGGCAUCAUCUAUCAGGAACUCCAGGAGCUCUCUGA